rnacentral:rRNA from 1 species
GAUGAACGCUGGCGGCGUGCCUAAUACAUGCAAGUCGAGCGAAUGGAUUAAGAGCUUGCUCUUAUGAAGUUAGCGGCGGACGGGUGAGUAACACGUGGGUAACCUGCCCAUAAGACUGGGAUAACUCCGGGAAACCGGGGCUAAUACCGGAUAACAUUUUGAACCGCAUGGUUCGAAAUUGAAAGGCGGCUUCGGCUGUCACUUAUGGAUGGACCCGCGUCGCAUUAGCUAGUUGGUGAGGUAACGGCUCACCAAGGUAACGAUGCGUAGCCGACCUGAGAGGGGGAUCGGCCACACUGGGACUGAAAGACGGCCCAGACUCCUACGGGAGGCAGCAGUAGGGAAUCUUCCGCAAUGGGCGAAAGUCUGACGGAGCAACGCCGCGUGAGUGAUGAAGGCUUUCGGGUCGUAAAACUCUGUUGUUAGGGAAGAACAAGUGCUAGUUGAAUAAGCUGGCACCUUGACGGUACCUAACCAGAAAGCCACGGCUAACUACGUGCCAGCCGCCGCGGUAA